rnacentral:pre_miRNA from 1 species
UUUCUACUCCCUCCAUCCAAAAAUACUUGUCAUCAAAAUGGAUAAAAAGAGAUGUAUCUAAAACUAAAAUACGUCUAGAUACAUUUCCUUUUAUCCAUUUUGAUGACAAGUAUUUCCAGAUGGAGGGAGUAUUUG